rnacentral:rRNA from 1 species
AGUAGUUGAUCAGUCGGCUCGAGGACGACGCUGGCGGCGUGCUUAACACAUGCAAGUCGAACGGUAAGGCCCUUCGGGGUACACGAGUGGCGAACGGGUGAGUAACACGUGGGUGAUCUGCCCUGCACUUCGGGAUAAGCCUGGGAAACUGGGUCUAAUACCGGAUAGGACCAUGGACUUCACGGUUUGUGGUGGAAAGCUUUUGCGGUGUGGGAUGGGCCCGCGGCCUAUCAGCUUGUUGGUGGGGUAAUGGCCUACCAAGGCGACGACGGGUAGCCGGCCUGAGAGGGUGUCCGGCCACACUGGGACUGAGAUACGGCCCAGACUCCUACGGGAGGCAGCAGUGGGGAAUAUUGCACAAUGGGCGCAAGCCUGAUGCAGCGACGCCGCAUGAGGGAUGACGGCCUUCGGGUUGUAAACCUCUUUCAAUAGGGACGAAGCGCAAGUGACGGUACCUAUAGAAGAAGCACCGGCCAACUACGUG